UUCUUUCUUUGCAAAAUAUUUAUACGAUUUUUGGUAUUAUUUUAUUUAGUGCAUUUUAACCAUUCCAUUGAGAUUUUUAUUUUAUUUAUAUACAAAAUGCAAUUGAGGCCAGGCGCAGUGGCUCAUGCCUGUAAUCCCAACACUUUGGGAAGCUGAAGCAGGAGGAUUGCUUGAACCCAGGAAUUCAAGACCAGCCCCAGCAACAUAUCGAGACUCUGUCUCUACAAAAAAUUAGAAAAUUAAUCAGGUGUGCUGGUGCAUACCUGUAGUCCUGGCUGAUUGGGAGACUGAGGCAGGAGAAUCACUUGAGCGUGGGAGGUUGAAGCCAUGGUGAGCCAUGGUUGCACCACUGUACUCCAGCCUGAGUAACAAAGCAAGACCCUGUCCCCCACCCCCAAAAAAUGCAAUUGAACAUCUUUGUAAUGUAUGGUCCUUCAUUUCAAAGUCAUGACACCUCUCUGCUUUUUUUCCUCUUCUCUUUUUUCUUGUGUAGUCAUUACAGUUGUUUGUCUUACUUUCUAGGGUUGAUGGGAUGGAGUGAGUGUAAUAAGUUAGUCUAUAAUAAUAUUUCUGGCCUAUCAAGUACAAGGCAUUUUUGAAGCCAAGAAGAUCCUGAGGAAGCCUGAGGCCAGCCCCCAUUGGAGAUGACUACACACAUCAAAGAGAAAAUUAAUAUCUCUCCACAGUCAGUUUGCCCAGUGCCCAUGAGGCUGCAGGGGUUAGUGCUGCAGAAGUCAGGGAGCUUGCUUGCUUGGAGUCUGGGAUGGAGGCUUGUCCUUAAAGAUACACUGGAUUCUCUAACAGGAUGGGAGGAAUAGUCUAGGUGUGGAAAGUCAACUGAAUGAGAGUCAGGUGUAGAGGUGAGAGGCCGUGCUGACCACGUAGCCAUAUUGCCCUAAAAUCCUUUGAACGUCAGCCUCCAGCAAUUGGACUUGGCCUGGGCUUUUCAGAUUUUUUUUUUUUUUCUCAGAUCCCUAGAAUUGUAAGGGAGUCCUUCUGCAUGGGGACGGGAAAGGUCAGGCCACCAGGACUCUGGAUCCUUCAGCCUUAAGGUUCAGUUUAAGAUUUCAUUUGGAAGAAGGAUUUUCUCACUCCUGAGAAAGCUUGUCAGCCCUCACCGUUACCAUUUGCGGGAAGGUAGGGUUUGA
rnacentral:lncRNA from 1 species